rnacentral:rRNA from 1 species
GAUGAACGCUGGCGGCGUGCCUAAUACAUGCAAGUCGAGCGAACAGAUGAGGAGCUUGCUCCUCUGAAGUUAGCGGCGGACGGGUGAGUAACACGUGGAUAACCUACCUAUAAGACUGAGAUAACUUCGGGAAACCGGAGCUAAUACAGGAUAAUAUAUUGAACCGCAUGGUUCAAUAAUGAAAGACGGUUUUGCUGUCACUUAUAGAUGGAUCCGCGCCGCAUUAGCUAGUGGGUAAGGUAACGGCUUACCAAGGCGACGAUGCGUAGCCGACCUGAGCGGGUGAUCGGCCACACCUGAACUGAGAGACGGUCCAGACUCCUACGGGAGGCAGCAGUAGGGAAUCUGCCGCAAUGGGCGAAAGCCUGACGGAGCAACGCCGCGUGAGUGAUGAAGGUCUUCGGAGCGUAAAACUCUGGUAUUAGGGAAGAACAAAUGUGUAAGUAACUAUGCACGUCUUGACGGUACCUAAUCAGAAAGCCACGGCUAACUACGUG